UACGUAGGGGACGAGCGUUGUCCGGAAUUACUGGGCGUAAAGGGCGCGCAGGCUGUAGAUCAAGUCAGCUGUGAAAUGUCUGGGCUUAACCCGGGCAUGCGGUUGAAACUGAUGUACUGGAGUGCUGUAGAGGCAAGUGGAAUUCCCAGUGUAGCGGUGAAAUGCGUAGAUAUUGGGAAGAACACCGGUGGCGAAGGCGACUUGCUGGGCAGCAACUGACGCUGAGGCGCGAAAGCCUGGGGAGCAAACGGGAUUAGAUA
rnacentral:rRNA from 1 species